AAGUCGUAACAAGGUCUCCGUUGGUGAACCAGCGGAGGGAUCAUUACUGAGUACUACACUCUCUACCCUUUGUGAACUAUUAUACCUGUUGCUUCGGCGGCGCCCGCAAGGGUGCCCGCCGGUCUCAUCAGAAUCUCUGUUUUCGAACCCGACGAUACUUCUGAGUGUUCUUAGCGAACUGUCAAAACUUUUAACAACGGAUCUCUUGGCUCCAGCAUCGAUGAAGAACGCAGCGAAACGCGAUAUGUAAUGUGAAUUGCAGAAUUCAGUGAAUCAUCGAAUCUUUGAACGCACAUGGCGCCUUCCAGUAUCCUGGGAGGCAUGCCUGUCCGAGCGUCGUUUCAACCCCUCGAGCCCCUGUGGCCCGGCGUUGGGGAUCUGCCACGGCAGGCCCCUAAAACCAGUGGCGGACCCGAAGGGCCCUCUCCUUUGCGCAGUAGCAUUCGCCUCGCAUCGGGAGUCCUCGGCGUCCUGCCUCUAAACCCCCCACAAGCCCGCUUCGGCGGCACCAAGGUUGACCUCGGAUCAGGUAGGAAUACCCGCUGAACUUAA
rnacentral:rRNA from 1 species